GUGCUUGCUUUGGCAGCAUAUAUACUAAAAUUGGAAUGCUACAGAUAUUAGCAUGGCUUUGUGCAAGGAUGACACACAAAUUCAUGAAGCAUUCCAUAUUUUU
rnacentral:snRNA from 1 species